rnacentral:rRNA from 1 species
GACGAACGCUGGCGGCGUGCCUAAUUCAUGCAAGUAGAACGCUGAAGAGAGGAGCUUGCUCUUCUUGGAUGAGUUGCGAACGGGUGAGUAACGCGUAGGUAACCUGCCUUGUAGCGGGGGAUAACUGUUGGAAACGAUAGCUAAUACCGCAUAACAAUGGACGACACAUGUCAUUUAUUUGAAAGGGGCAAUUGCUCCACUACAAGAUGGACCUGCGUUGUAUUAGCUAGUAGGUGAGGUAAUGGCUCACCUAGGCGACGAUACAUAGCCGACCUGAGAGGGUGAGCGGCCACACUGGGACUGAGACACGGCCCAGACUCCUACGGGAGGCAGCAGUAGGGAAUCUUCGGCAAUGGGGGCAACCCUGACCGAGCAACGCCGCGUGAGUGAAGAAGGUUUUCGGAUCGUAAAGCUCUGUUGUAAGUCAAGAACGGGUGUGAGAGUGGAAAGUUCACACUGUGACGGUAGCUUACCAGAAAGGGACGGCUAACUACGUG